UUCCAGGUGGAAAAUCGGUGGCCAGGUACUUAACAUUAAUUCUUCUGAGUUUUGGGUUUGCAAGGUAGUGAUAUAUCUUUAAUCUACUUUUUUUUUGAGAAAAUGAUGAGAUGCGAAACAUAUCAAGGGAACAUUGCAUCCCAGGUGCCUGGUUGUUGGGUCUCUCAAAAAUGGAAAGUUAUUCUAUUGCUUGUUGUGAUACCUUCGCCGUUUCCGUGAAUGAUGGACCUUUCUUAGUUGGAAACAAGCAGAGCAUAUGCCUUUCAUAGGAAUAACCUUUGUGUGUUUUUAUGCUAUAGUACGCUUAAUUUGAUAGCUUAUUAAAUAAGACAAUACGUUUAACCUCAGUGAUGACUGAUGAUCGAAUAUAUGGUUAUUGGGUUCCUUUAUGUUCCUUUGAUCAGCAUUAACCUCAAGGUUCUGUUUUACUGAGGUGGUGGAGACCUGUUAGUCGUGUAGUGUAUGAAUAAAUUAAAACUGAUUUAAUAAAUAGAUGGGGUUUAUAGGUAUGUACUCUUCUUGGUGGAGGGGUUUAUGCUAAUAAAAUGGUAGUUCCUGCUGGGCUAGUUCUCUCCGUUCCACCUGCAGUUUCUCUGAAGGAUGCAGCUGCUUUUCCUGGGGUUGCAUGUACUGUGUGGUCUAAUGUUUUUAUGAUGAGCCGGCUAUUCAAAGGAGAAACGUUCUUAGUAAAUUUUGAGUCUAAUAAUUAAUCUAUGAAGAGAAAAUUAUAUUUUUAGUUAACAUUCAAAAACUGUGUUGUUUUGAACCAAGUCAUUGGAUGCAGCAUAUCUUGUGACUCCCAUCUUGUUAAUUCUUACUACUCUGAACGAAGCUAUGCAGCGUACCAGUACCUUUUUGUAUUCUUCUGUUUAAUUAACUCUUGUUUGGGUUAGUAGUAUACAUAGAACUUAGCAACUCGGGUGUUACGUUUGGUCUUCACCAUUAAUUAGGGAAUGCAAGACAUGCUUGAAUUAGUUUUAAGACUCGCAAGGAUGUAAAUAUAAUAUUGGAUAACAUCCAUUCAUAACUUGAAAUAUCUUCUAUCAAUGUAUCUAUACUUCCUGGAGUAUCUUUGCAAAAUUAUAGAUUGCUCAAGGUACAGGUAAAUGGCCUGGAUUUGUUUUCGUCGGCAGUGCUGUAUGACCUUUCUGGAGUCUGUAGUUGUGACUUAAUAAUGGUUUAUGCUAACUUGAAUCCUUCAAUUCUCAGGUAUAUGGCGGCUCUGGUGGAAUUGGUAUAUUUGCCAUUCAGACAGGUGAAGAUCAUGGAGUAACAGUAUUUGUCACAGCUGGUCCAGUAGUUUUUAUACAACUUUUUUCUUGAAAAUUAACCUUUAUACAACUUUUUCCCUGGAAAUUAACUACCUUCAAUAGAUCCGUUAAAACUGGCCCGUCUCAUGGAGCUAACCAUGCAUCUCUUUGAUUGAAACUUCUGAGUAGUGCUUGCCAAGCACUCAUUUUUUGAAUAUGGAUUAGCAAACAGUGAAGAGAAAUUAGCUUUCUGCAAGGAUCUUGGUGCUGAUGCAUGCAUCAAUUACAAAACAGCGGACUUUGUUGCGAGGGUAGAGGAAGAAACAGGUGGUCAAGGUGCUGGCUUGGGAAACAAAAACAAUGGAUAAGAAUGUGUGACCAGCAAUGAAUUAUUGCCAGUGGUGUACAAAUCAUUUCCUCUCUCUGAAGCGGCAGAGGCUCAUCGGCUAAUGGAAAGCGGCAAACAUAUUGGGAAGACAGCUUCUUCCAUGAACCUGAACAAGCCAUUCCAACCCAAGCUCUUGACAUUGUGACCUCUUUCUAUCUAUGAUCGAGGAGACUAGUGCCGUGCACAUAAGAAUUUGUAAUGCUUAUAGCUACAUGGUGGUUUUUUAAAAAAUAAAGCAUCCCGUAAUGAAUUGAUUCUGUACGAUACAGCAAAUGUAACUACUGUAUCCAUGAGGAUUCUCUUAGGUGAUUUUAUGUGCAGAAGAUGAUGGAGUUGUGCAUAUUCAAGAAAGAAUGGAGUGCUGCUAUUGACUUAAAA